UUUCAGCUAGCAGAACAAUUUAAACCUUUACAAUCUUGGACUCUGGGUCUAGAUGUGGAUACCCACACAUAUGAUAUCUACAGCAUUUCAAAGAACAAUGAACAUCAUGGGAAUGAGAAUCAGGCAAAGGUAAAUGGAAAGACUUUAAUGAGCUAAGGUCUGCAAUUAUGAAAGAGCUACAGGCAAAUGUCAGCACACAGAGAAGAUACACUCGGUUCAUAUUUGGACUACACUUCAGAAUUGUUCUUCCGCACAAUGGAAUUUUACAAGUCUGUGUGUCAACCCAAGGAUUCCCU